rnacentral:lncRNA from 1 species
AGCCGCACCCCCAACUUGGGCAGGACCUCGUCCCGGAGGGUGUCAGUGAGCUGCAGAAUCUCAGGGACUUUUUGCUCGCGGGCGAUCCUCUGCACUCAGCACGUGCAGGCUGUGUCCAGGCCCUCUGGCGGGGAAACCCAGGGAGCUUUCCUCUUCAAUGGUCCCGAAGAUCUUGAGCAGGUGUGUCAGGUACUGGGCGACGCUCUGCAGCAGGCCGCGGUUGGGCCUCCUCCUCGCUACCUUCCGGGCCGCCAUGCAGAGGUUGCACUGGCUGACCAAUGGCCGCAGCUCUUCCAUGACGGUGCGAGUGUCCACAUUGUCACACAAGGCUUUGUGCACCGCCGCCUUCUUGUCAUAGAAGCUGUGACUCAGCACGGUCUCCUCCUCCUCCCACUUCUUGAACUGGCUGGCAGCGUCCACCGGGGCUCGCAGGAGGUCCUUCACGUUGAGGAAAAACUCAUUCAGGAACCGCUCCUACUGGAAUACCGACUCCAUGGUGUUGCUGGAGUAGUCCAGCGUGUCCUUCCAGGAGUGCAAGAGGAAGGCCAGCCGCAGCUGCCGCGCUGAGUGCUUCUACAAGGCGUCUUUAAUGGUGAUGAAUUUCUUCAGGGAUUUCGACAUCUUGCAGCCCGCCAUCGUCAGGUGGCCCGUGUGCAGGAAGUACCUGACCCAGCAGUCGUUUUCAAAGUAGGCCUCUGAUUGUGCCAGCUCAUUGUCGUGGUAGGGGAACCACAGGUCGAACCCUCCUCCAUGAAUGUCCAUCGAAGCUCCAAGCACGGUGCCCGCCAUGGCGGAGCACUCGAUGUGCCAUCCUGGACGCCCGUUUCCCCACGGGCACGGCCAGGACGGCUCCCCGGCCUUGGAGGCCUUCCACAGCGUGAAGUCAUUGGGAGAGCGCUUCUAGCUCAGGUCACCUUCCCCUUCCUGAAGAGCCGUCUGGUCGCCCAGGGCUUCGGGCGCCAGCUUCCCAUAGGAGUGUUUCUCACUGGAGGCAAACUUCACCGUGUCGAAGUAGAAGGAACCGUUGGAAACAUAGCCAUAGCCGUUGUCCACGAUCUUCUGAACGAAGCUGAUGAUCUCCGGCACAUACUCGCUCACCCAGGUUAAGAUGUCUGGGGGGAGAACGUUCAGGGCUUCAAUGUCCUUGUGGAACUCCGCCUCCCAGAACUUGGGCAGUGUGGAGAAGAUGGAGCUGUCAGUGACCCAGUGCGUGCAGAUUUUCUUCCCUUCAUCUCCUCUCAUGGCAUACUUAAGUCUGUUGCUUAGAAAAAUGAUGACAGGAAGACAUUUUCUCAGCUUGUGGGGACUGGCAGAUGGAUGAGUAGGAAACAUACCAGUAAGUUUAUCCAAUAUCCAAUGUUUUGGAGUUGCUACUCACCUUAAAUGCUUCUUAGGGCCAUGAGCCAUGGUUGUGCUAGGUAAAAAAGAGGAAUAAAUAAAUCUUCUAAAAGAAAUCA